GGUUUUCGUAGGUGAACCUGCGGAAAGAUCAUUGUCGAUGCCUUACAUGUAGUCCAACACGUGAAUCAGUUUGAACACACAGGGUUGGCUUGGGGUGUUGAACACCUCGGCCUAACUCCGGUUCGGAGGGGGACACCCAAGUGUGUUCAACACCCCAAGCCAACCCUAUGUGUUCAAACUGAUUCACGUGUUGGACUACAUGUAAGGCAUCGACAAUGAUCCUUCCGCAGGUUCACCUACGGAAACCUUGUUACGACUUCUCCUUCCUCUAAAUGAUAAGGUUCAGUGGACUUCUCACAACGUCGCGGGCAGCGAACCGCCCACGUCGCCGCAAUCCGAACACUUCACCGGACCAUUCAAUCGGUAGGAGCGACGGGCGGUG